UACGUAGGGUGCGAGCGUUAAUCGGAAUUACUGGGCGUAAAGCGUGCGCAGGCGGUUCGUUGUGUCGGUGGUGAAAUCCCCGGGCUUAACCUGGGAAUGGCCAUGGAAACUGGCGAACUGGAGUGUGGCAGAGGGGGGUGGAAUUCCGCGUGUAGCAGUGAAAUGCGUAGGGAUGCGGAGGAACACCGAUGGCGAAGGCAGCCCCCUGGGCUAGCACUGACGCUCAGGCACGAAAGCGUGGGGAGCAAACAGG
rnacentral:rRNA from 1 species